UGCAUGUAUGUGUGUAUGUGUAUAUGUGUGUGUGUGUAUAUAUGUAUAUAUGUAUGUA
rnacentral:miRNA from 1 species